UAGGGANUCUUCGGCAAUGGACGAAAGUCUGACCGAGCAACGCCGCGUGAGUGAAGAAGGUUUUCGGAUCGUAAAGCUCUGUUGUAAGAGAAGAACGGGUGUGAGAGUGGAAAGUUCACACUGUGACGGUAUCUUACCAGAAAGGGACGGCUAACUACGUGCCAGCAGCCGCGGUAAUACGUAGGUCCCGAGCGUUGUCCGGAUUUAUUGGGCGUAAAGCGAGCGCAGGCGGUUAGAUAAGUCUGAAGUUAAAGGCUGUGGCUUAACCAUAGUACGCUUUGGAAACUGUUUAACUUGAGUGCAGAAGGGGAGAGUGGAAUUCCAUGUGUAGCGGUGAAAUGCGUAGAUAUAUGGAGGAACACCGGUGGCGAAAGCGGCUCUCUGGUCUGUAACUGACGCUGAGGCUCGAAAGCGUGGGGAGCGAACAGGAUUAGAUACCCUGGUAGUCCACGCCGUAAACGAUGAGUGCUAGGUGUUAGGCCCUUUCCGGGGCUUAGUGCCGCAGCUAACGCAUUAAGCACUCCGCCUGGGGAGUACGACCGCAAGGUUG
rnacentral:rRNA from 1 species